rfam:Hymenolepis nana genome assembly, scaffold: HNAJ_contig0001630
CCCAAGGCCCUCUUCAGGGCCAUCUCAUUGAUUACCGGACGGAAUU